UGCGCGAGUAAGUUAGGUCCAGAUGCUGUCUGACAGCACAAAAUGCAUAAAACAACUGAAUCUUUCGUAACUGGUGACAUUUAACCAGUUAGCUAUUUUUGACGAGCAUAUUCGUCACGAGAAAAUGGCAAUAUUUCGUGUUAGUAUACUCGUCGACGGCGAGUUUACUCGUCAUGCGUAAAAGAUAGUUACAAUUUACUGUUUAAAUUACAAUUUAAUAACUGCAAUGAAUUUCAGUAUACUCGUCACUCGUCGCGCCAUAUUUUAUAUCAUGACGAGUAUACUCGUCAUGCGUAAAAAGUAUUUAAAUUUGCUGCAUAAAUUAGAAUUUAAUAGGUGCAAUAAAUCGCAGUAUACUCGUCAUGAACGAACAACAAUAUUUUAUAUUACGACGAGUAUACUCGUCAUGCGUAAAAGGUAGUUACAACUUGUUGUUUAAAUUGCAAUGUAGCAAUCGCGGUAAAUCGGAGUAAUAAAAUGAACAAAUAAAACAAUCGUUUCGUUACUACUUGAUUCUAUAUUAUAACUAUAUUUAGACAUGCGUCUACGUUCGACGAGUAUACCCGUCGUCGCUUAUAUUUCGCGACACACUUUAGAUACACGCUUUUCAAGGAAGUCGCAACAGCUAACUGGUUAAUGC
rnacentral:misc_RNA from 1 species